rnacentral:rRNA from 1 species
GAUGAACGCUGGCGGCGUGCCUAAUACAUGCAAGUCGAGCGAACGGACGAGAAGCUUGCUUCUCUGACGUUAGCGGCGGACGGGUGAGUAACACGUGGAUAACCUACCUAUAAGACUGGGAUAACUUCGGGAAACCGGAGCUAAUACCGGAUAAUAUAUUGAACCGCAUGGUUCAAAAGUGAAAGACGGUUUUGCUGUCACUUAUAGAUGGAUCCGCGCUGCAUUAGCUAGUUGGUAAGGUAACGGCUUACCAAGGCAACGAUGCGUAGCCGACCUGAGAGGGUGAUCGGCCACACUGGAACUGAGACACGGUCCAGACUCCUACGGGAGGCAGCAGUAGGGAAUCUUCCGCAAUGGGCGAAAGCCUGACGGAGCAACGCCGCGUGAGUGAUGAAGGUCUUCGGAUCGUAAAACUCUGUUAUUAGGGAAGAACAAAUGUGUAAGUAACUGUGCACGUCUUGACGGUACCUAAUCAGAAAGCCACGGCUAACUACGUG